AAAGGGAUGAUUCAUUUGGCUGUUUUUUCAUUUCCUUGAGUUGCCAUUUUGUUUUUCAUCAAAUGUUAUGUUUAAUUUAACAAUUUGAAUCAAAUAUUUAUAUUUAUUGUUAUUUGUUAUGCUACCUCUCACUGUGAUUAACUAUUGAUUUGUAUGCGUUUGUGGGUUCAAAGGUUUCACUUAAAAUAAAUGGGUAUCCAGCCAGUCAAUGUUUGAUGAGAAAGUGUCAUUCUAGAAAAAGUUUUCUCUUCCCUCUUCCCUCUUCACCAUUACCAUCAUCAUAAUCAUCAUCAGCAACAAAACAUGAACAUCAUUUUGACGUGAAAUCAUGUGCUUCUUUGCCUUCAUUUAUUUCUCAUCAUUUUUACAGCGCCUUCAUCAUCAUCUUGGUGUCAUCAUAAGGUGAUAGAUGUGAAUUAAGCAGGACACAGACAAAGUUGAUGGUCACCAUGAAUUCAUGAUGAUGGAAACGGUUUCAAUCUAGAUAGAUUGAUAUUACUUGGUUUUGACAUUUAUUUGACGUACACAUCAAAAGAUAACUAAAUUUCUGGUCUUUCUCUUCAAUCUUUUUUUGGCUUUUCACUUGAUCACCAAUUUGAAUUUGAGUUUGAGUAAAUUUGCAUUCAUUAACAGAUUCUGAUUACUGAUUUUAUUAUCAAUGAGUCUUUCCCAAUCUCAAUAAUAUCUUUCCCACAAUUUAAUUUAUAUUUUUCAUUAAAAUUAGUUACAAAACAGCGCAAAGCUGACAAAACUGUCAAUGAUAAUUAGCCCAACAAAUCAAUUAUGAAUAACCUUUUUUUUUGUGAUUAUGUUUUUUUUGUAAACCAGCUGCUUGUUGAUUGUCGUUGCUGCAUUUGUUUGCAAAUAUAAGCUGAAAGCCUGAUGAUGCUUUGAUUAUUAUCAUCAUUAUCAACAGCAAAAAUUACCCUUCAACCAAGGAGCAACUGAAAAAGUAUAUAAAGAAGUGAAGGGAAAAAGAUUGUUAUUACUUGAUCAAGAUUGAUUAAAAUCUCAUUAUAUUUAACCUCAAAA